UACAGAGGUCCCAAGCGUUGUUCGGAUUUAUUGGGCGUAAAGGGUGCGUAGGCGGCGGAGUAAGUUGGGUGUGAAAUCCCGGGGCUCAACCUCGGAAUUGCAUUCAAUACUGCUUCGCUUGAGUACUAGAGAGGAGACUGGAAUUUACGGUGUAGCAGUGAAAUGCGUAGAUAUCGUAAGGAAGGCCGGUGGCGAAAGCGAGUCUCUGGACAGUUACUGACGCUGAUGCACGAAGGCCAGGGGAGCAAACGGG
rnacentral:rRNA from 1 species